rfam:Triticum aestivum genome assembly, contig: Triticum_aestivum_CS42_TGACv1_scaffold_578053_7BL
UAAAUACUCAUUCCGUCCGAGAAUACUUGUUAUCAAAAUGGAUAAAAAGAGAUGUAUCUAAAACUAAAAUAUGUCUAGAUACAUUUCCUUUUAUCCAUUUUGAUGACAAGUAUUUCCAGACGGAGGGAGUAUUUG